CAUUUGGUACCCUAGAUUCAGCCUGCUCUGUGCUGAACUUAUACUCUUACCUUAAGCCUUUACCACCACAUUCUGACUAAGCAGUGGUAAAGGCUUAAGGCAAGAGUAUAAGUUCAGCACAGAGCAGGCUGAAUCUAGGGUACCAAAUGGACAAUAAGAUGAAGUGUGUGGUAGACAUCGAGUGAAUGAUUUUCAAAUGAUGAAAUGAUAUUUGAGGUAAGGCUAAAUUCCAAGACUGACUCUGUACCCUGAAAUUGGGUCUGGUAGAUUGAAUUUUGAUGGAAGGAAGUACAGUCAUGAUUUUUUUGUUGUAUAACUCUUUCCUAUGUAUAUAUGUUUUAGUCCUCAUUUGUAUAGCACUUACUACAUGAGAGACACUAUUCUAAGCCUUGAUGUAUGUCAUUUACGCUCACGAUAACAGAAUUAGGUAAACACUAUUAUCUCUGUUUUACAAAUUACCCAGGCAUAGACAGGGUAAAUAACUUGUCCAUGGUCACACAACAUAGCAGUGAUUUGAAGACUGCACUAUUUCUAGUACUGUAGUACUAAGCCUAUUUUAUCAGCAACAAACUACCAACACCGUAGAGGAGCCCCUGGAGCUCAUAAGGUUCAGCCUGGAUGAGCGAAUUUAUGUGAAAAUGAGAAAUGACUGAGAGCUUCGAGGCAGAUUACAUUCCAUCGACCUCCCACUUCAGGCUUAUGAUCAGCAUUUAAAUGUGAUAUUGGGAGAUGUGAAAGAAACAGUGACCACUAUGGAAAUGGAUGAAGAGACGUGUGAGGAAACACACACAAUCAGUCACGCAGCUCUAUUCCUCACUCUGAAAACUCCAGUUGUUCUCAGCAUGCAGCACCUUAACACACGUGUGGAAAGCCUGUCAUGUUCUGACACCAACUUGUGGACUCAGUAGAGUAUAGCAGUUAAAAGCAAGGGCUCUGGUCUCAGACAGACAUGGGUUCCAGUACUGGCCUGGCCACUUCCUACCUAGGCUACCUUGAGAAAGGACAUUGACUUUGCAGACUUGAUUUCCUCAUCAGUCAGCAGGAACACUACCACUUACCUGACAGGAUUGCCAGAUUCAAUGAGAUAUGACAAUGGAAGAUGCUUGUGUAUGCUUGUGUAUAAUAGUAGUACUGGACAAUGUUCUUUCACUUUAUGUAGAUUUGGUAUAUUAGAAACUAAAACUAAGAAAUGUUUGAAAUAUUUUUGAAUCCAUUAAAAAAAAAUCUAUCACAUGUUAACAUAA